rnacentral:rRNA from 1 species
AACGAACGCUGGCGGCAUGCCUAACACAUGCAAGUCGAACGAGACCUCCGGGUCUAGUGGCGCACGGGUGCGUAACGCGUGGGAACCUGCCCUUAGGUUCGGAAUAACUCCCCGAAAGGGGUGCUAAUACCGGAUAAUGUCUUCGGACCAAAGAUCUAUCGCCUUUGGAUGGGCCCGCGUUGGAUUAGCUAGUUGGUAGGGUAAAAGCCUACCAAGGCGACGAUCCAUAGCUGGUCUGAGAGGAUGAUCAGCCACACUGGGACUGAGACACGGCCCAGACUCGUACGGGAGGGAGCAGAGGGGAAUAUUGGACAAUGGGCGAAGGCCUGAUCCAGCAAUGCCGCGUGAGUGAUGAAGGCCUUAGGGUUGUAAUGCUCUUUUACCCGGGAUGAUAAUGACAGUACCGGGAGAAUAAGCACCGGCCAACUCCGUG